CAGUAGACUUGUUUCGCUCAGUGGAGCCCCAGUUAGAGACAGAUAUGAUACCUGCAGUGAUUUUCAUGAUCCUAUUCUGGAGCACAGAUCUCCAGGUUCAAAGCGUCAGUCCACCAGCUGAACUCUCAGUCAGACUGGUGGAUGGGACCACUUCCUGUUCUGGGACAGUGGAAGUCUUCUACAGAGGAGAGUGGUUCGGUCUAUGUUCUGUGUGGUGGGACAUGAUAAGAGAGAAGUGGUUGUGGGACAUGAGAGAGGUUAAGGUUGUGUGUAGAGAGAUGGACUGUGGGAAUCCUGUAUCUGUAUCUAGAGGACCUCUGAUUGAAGAUGGAAGAAUAGGAGUCACACUAUAUAGUAGUUGCUAUGGAGAUGAGUCUUCUAUUAGACAGUGUGACAGAAGAGGACCUGGUUUAUGUGGUGGAUAUUAUCAUCAUGUGACCUGUUCAGACUCUGUGCGUCUUGUGGAUGGAGCUGGUCUCUGCUCUGGGAGAGUGGAGGUGAAGUCCAAUCAGUCCUGGGCCUCAGUGUGUGAAGCUGACUUUGACCGGCAGGAUGCAGAGGUAGUCUGUAGGGAUGUUGGCUGUGGGGCUCCUGCAGCUCUACAGGGGGGGCUCUAUGGAGAAGGUGAGGGUCAGACCUGGGAUAAAGAGUUCCAGUGUAAAGGCAAAGAGUCCCUUCUCCUGGACUGUGACACCUCAGACAGAGAGAACAACACCUGCCUACCUGGUAAUGCUGUUGGACUCACCU